AUUAUAAAAUCUUGGGAGAAAGGAUUUGAGGGAACUGAAGCACAGCUGGCAUCUCAUACUCCAAUCUCACCAGAUGGUUUAGAAACAAACACCUUGGAGACAAGAGGAUGUGGCUGACAUACUUUCACAGUACAACCGCCCGGAUCCCACAAGGGCCUCAAAAUGGUCACCUAAAUCUCAAACAAUCAAAAGAUAUGCUCCAGUACGAGGAACAUGGGUGCAGAACUCUGAAAUAAGGCAACCUGAAGAAAGCUAAUAAAUCUUUCCAAACGCAAGUCUUUUAGAUAAAAUACCAGUACAAUCAACGGAAUAUCUUUAUGAAGUUUAAAAAGAAAGUGCAGCAACUUCACUGGGAUCAAAAACAGGUCUUGAAAAAAGUCAAGGCCUCUUGCAUUUUCCAUUUGAUUCUUCCAAGACUACAGAUCCAAUUCCAUGGAAGAAGGCCACAUCUUAUCUAAGGGCAUGGCAGUGGAAAUCCUCUCCACAUAAAAUGCACUCAUGCAAUGGCCCUCUGCAUCUUGCCAACCAUUUCCCUGUCAGGCAUUAUGCCUCUACCCAGAUGUUUAUCGCAUUUGGACCGACUGUUGAAAGAAAUGUCACAAUUCAGAAUUUAAGGAAAGUUCAUCCAAAUUCUGAAACUAACAAGACAUACAUAAGAAUGAACUUUGGUAGCCAUGCAAACGUUCUUCUGUAUGCCAAAAAAUAAGAGAUGCUGUUACCAUAA